rnacentral:tRNA from 1 species
GCGGAUGUAACCAAGUGGAUCAAGGUAGU